CCCCUUUUGAAACUCCCUAAUGAAAACUUGCUGUUUUUUGCAGCUUGUGGGGCAUCACGGAACCUACCGACAUGUGAUGUCUCCCCCAGACGCCCAGCUUUAAAAUUUCCCUCUUUUGUACUCUGUCCCUUUAUUUCUCAAGUUGGCCGACGCUUAAGGAAAAUAGAAAAGAACCCACAUGAAUAUCGGGGCAGAUUCCCCAAUAUAAUGCCGUUCUUUGCCUUCAUUGAUCUUUGUUGGUUUGAAGUCUGUUUUUUGUCAGAAACUUGGACUACAACCCCUGCUUUUUUCUGUUUUCCAUUUGCUUGGUAAAUGUUCCUCCAUUCCUUUAUUUUGAGCCUAUGUGUGCCAUUACAUGUGAGAUGGACAUCUUGAAGACAGUAUACCAAUGGGUCUUGGUUCUUUAUCCAGCUUACCAGUCCGUGUUUUUUAAUUGGGGCAUUUAAUCCAUUUGUAUUCAAGAUUGUGAAUGCCAGCAGAACAGCUGACCCCAAACAGCUUGAAGACCCCCACAACAGAACUGAAUCAGCAUGAAAAUGCAGUUUCUCCACCUCUCUGUUCCAUGACUUCACCCUGCACUCUUCCACCAAUCAAUGGUCUCCACACUUUGGUCGACACCAAAACGCUUAAGAACCCAACCCUAGCCCCAAAUUCCUUGGGGAGACAGAUUUGAGGAGUCCUCUUACCUCUUCAUUUGGCAGCCUUAAAAUUAAAACUCUUUCUUUGCUUCAACUUAGUGUCUCAGUAUAUUGACUUGCAGUGCAUUGGACAACAAACCUAUCAUAGUUAUAUUAUUGGCUGCAAUUUAGUCUAUGUUCACAUCUAUCUAAAAGGAAUAGUGGAAAAUAUAGUGUUAAUUUUGAGUGGGUAUAAAACUGAUAAAAAUUAAAGGCUCUAUUAAUGUAGAAGGAAAAACGAUCUAUUAAGGAACAAAAUAUCUAGUUUCGGUCACACAAAUGAACACAUAGAUGAAUAAAGAAAGAAAUAAAAACACUAUGUUUGCCAGAAUCCAGACUAAAAAUAAAUAUUAAAUUAACUAUAGCAAAAUAAUUUUUAGAGAAAUCAUGAAACCAGACUUUUAACUUUCAAGCAUUGAAAAUACUUGUUUUUGUUUUUGUAAAAUAAAUGACAGGCAAAUGUACUUCCUCACCCUUCUUAGAAAAGAAAAGUUAACAAAAAUAGAAUUAGACAGUGUAUGUAAUAAAGGAAUUAAAUGUUCUUCAAGGUAAAAUGGUUAUGUUCACAAGGUCUGAA
rnacentral:lncRNA from 1 species